rnacentral:lncRNA from 1 species
UAUGAUCUGAUAAUUGAACAUCAACUUCCAGGUGAAACUGCAAAUUCCAUGCAACCUCCUGAAAGAGGAUGUCAGGCGCAAGAAACAGGUGUAUUGUGUGAUAGGACAACGUGUUUUUCAUGCAACUGUAUCAAAGAAGCAAAUGCACAAAGGGUUAGAGGAACUAUUUUGGUGAGAACAUUUUUUUUUUACUUUCAAGAAACUGUAAAUAACUAAAUAUUUAAUCAACUUAUGUUUUACAUAUGUGGCUACUUUCAGAUGCCAUGUAGGACAGCAACACGAGGGAGUUUUCCACUCAAUGGCACAUACUUUCAAGUUAAUGAGGUAUGUUAGAGUUUUGAAAUUUAGUUUUUAAACAUGUAAUAAGUCCAGAUCAUGAGAUUAGUUGGUGCCAUGUCAUCGAUCUAUGUGCAGAUGUUUGCUGAUCAUGCAUCAAGUUUGAAUCCAAUUGAUGUUCCAAGGGCAUGGAUUUGGAAUUUGCCAAGACGAACAGUGUACUUUGGGACUUCUGUAUCAACAAUCUUCAAAGGUAUCAGUAAUUGGGAUAUACUUAUGCAUCUCUAUUAGGGUUUGAUUGGUAUAAUGGAAUCAUGGAAUGGAAUCACAAGGGAAUGGAAUGGAUCAUUACAUUCCAUUAUCAUUAGAAAGUAAAAGAAAUUACACAUCAACAUAUUCCAUCUCAUUUGAUAUAUAAUAUGUAUAUAUUUCAAAAAAUCAAAAAACAUGUAUUCACCACUUUGAAAAAAUUGUAUACAAAACUAGAAAUUUAGAUACCAUGAAAUCUUAGAAUAGAACUAUAAAGGAAAAAAGCACUUUUAGUUAUUUUCUAAAAAAAAGAAAAAGUAAUGCUUAGGUCUCCGUACAUUUUAAUACAAGCAAUUAAUUAAACUAUGAAAACUGGUUCUUGUAGGGCUGACUACUCAAGAAAUUCAACAAUGCUUUUGGAGAGGUAUGUAGUACUUCAAUUCAUAAUGCUUUUCAAAUAAUAUCAAUUAUUAGCUUAAUGAUAUGACAUGGAACAUUUGCAGGGUUUGUUUGUGUGAGAGGUUUUGAUCAGAAAACGCGGGCCCCAAGGCCUCUAAUGGCAAGAUUGCAUUUUCCAGCAAGUAGACUAGUCAAUAAAAAGAACGAAGACAAAUAGGUUCUCAAGGGCAAAGAGGUCAAUGACUAACAAACUGUUGUACAUUCAUCUAUCCAUCAUUUAACAUGACCCAUGGCAUCAUGCAUUUUUGCAUGUAACUUAGAGAGGAAAGAAAGAGAGAAAAAGUUGAGUAAAAGUGGUAUCAUCCACAAACCACCUGCAAUUAGUUGAUACAAGAUUUCUAGUAUCAUAAAAUUUUCGUUUUUCUUAUGCUCCAAAACGAGCCAUUUUUUAUCAGUUAGAACAUUACAGAAGAAAGAAGAAAGAGAUUAGUUGAGCAGUAGUUAUUUUUCUUUUUCUGAUUAAGUUAUGUAUUUUCAAACAGCUUUGAAAUAAUAUGAUGAUCUAUAUGAGAAGCCAUUGCUUCAAACAUUAGUCACCAUAUACAUGUUUUGGAAAUGAAAGAAAAUGACAUAUUUUUGGUUGAAUUACAGAAUAUCUAGUUUUUCACUUUUUUGUUAGGUCAUCAAUUCAUUAAAGAUGAUAUCAUUCACUAAAAGACUUAAAAGUUGUAGGACCAUUAAAAAAAGGGGGGAAGUACUUUCUACUAUUAUUGUGGUCCAAGAAUUUGACUUGCUUUCAUAAAAAAAUACCAAAAAACUAUUUGGUUAAAAAGAAAAUAAACAAGUCAAAUCAUGAAAACUGAAGUCAAAAAGAAUCAUCCUACUAGAUAGUUUUGUCAUUUUCAUAAAUGAUAGUUUUUUUGUGUGUUUAACAAAAAGAAUGAACUUAUAAAGAACAACUUUUCCCAUUACGAUCAUCAGAUCUGUGCAAUAUAAAAUCUACUCAUCACCAUUAUGAGACAACUGCCACAUGGAAGUUAAUUGUUUAUUAUUCAUCCCAUCACGUUUUGUUUACCCCAUCUCCACACUGUUCCACCACCCUCAAUCGAUCGCCUUAUGCUUGAAUGAAUGUGAGCAAGAUAAAAGUAAUACACAUCAUUAGAAAGCCUAAAUAUAUACACGCAAGGCUAAACAAAGAAUGAAGAAUACGAUCCUGAAAACAGAUAUACGGUGACUUUUCAAACUAUUAAACACGGUGAACCACCAAUAUGAUCAACAAAAUAGCGAUUGCGAUCAAUCAAAUCGAUUCAAAUAUAAACUAUACAAUAAUUUGUAAUUAAGUAAUCACAGAAUAUGGAGAAUUUACCUUAUAAGCAUUACAAAGAAGAACCAAAUUCUGCAGAAAGAUCCAAAUCUGGACACGAGAGAAAAAGUUGGAUUUAGUAUGUAUUUGGAUUUUGGGUUGCCGC